UUUUACGAAAGUCUGAUGGAGCAAUACCACGGGAACCAAGAAGGUCUUCUGAUUGUAAAGUUCUUUUAUUUAGGAAAAAAAGCGCGCUAGGAAAUGAGCGCGCCUUGAUGGUACUAAUUGAAUAAGUGACAGCUAACUAUGUGCCAGCAGCUGCGGUAAAACAUAGGUCACGAGCAUUAUCCGGAUUUAUUGGGCGUAAAGGAAGCGUAGGUGGGGAGGUUGAUCCAUUGUUAAAGGCAUUUGCUUAACAAAUGUGUGCGAUGGAGAUCGCCUCCCUAGAGUUAAUCAGGGGGUACUGGAAUUCAAUGUGUAGCGGUGGAAUGCGUAGAUAUAUUGAGGAACACCAGAGGCUAAGGCGAGUGCCUAGGAUAUAACUGACACUGAGGCUUGAAAGCGUGGGGAGCAAAUGGGAUUAGAUACCCCAGUAGUCCACGCCGUAAACGAUGGGCAUUAGGUAUUUGACAUCUAGUCGAGUGCUGUAGCUAACGCGUUAAAUGCCCCGCCUGGGUAGUAUAUAUGCAAAUAUGAAACUCAAAGAAAUUGACGGGGACCUGAACAAGUGGUGGAGCAUGUUGCUUAAUUCGAUAAUACACGAAAAACCCAACCAAGGCUUGCAAUCUACUGGCAAA
rnacentral:rRNA from 1 species